GAGGGUAUAGAUCAGUGGUAGAGUGCAUGCUUAGUGUGCAUGAGGUCCAGGGUUCAAUCCACAGUACCUCCG
rfam:Camelus ferus unplaced genomic scaffold scaffold1609, whole genome shotgun sequence.